AAAAGGUUCAAAACCAGCACUUGAACUGGCAGAUAUUGUUAGUCACCAAAAACCAAAGUUAACGUGCAGUUCCUCUUCUCAAAGUCUCUAUUGCUCAAGGUGAGCCAUAGGGCAUUACGCGUGGGCUGAGCCUGACAAGAGCCUACAAAGGACUUUGCAAUACACAUUCCCAUAAUUAUCCCACAGAACUCGUCACAAGCCGUAGCCUUAUAUUUGCAUACAUUACAUUUUCAGUAUGUACGUAUGUACAUACAGUACAUUUUCAACCUGCCACCUCUACUUAUCUCAGCAAGGAAGUGAUCAAGUCACAACUGAGAUCCGCAGACUUCACAGUCUGUGAUUGGUUUCUUGUAGGGAAGGAAAGACUCUGCCCGGCUGACACCCAAUGCUCGCUGUACACCCUGUACUGCUGCCCCUUCCUUGGUUAUAAGCAAGAGAUCAACACAGGUGGGAAAUACCAGGAGAAAAGAACCCAGCACCGACAAUGGCCAGUGGGAAUGAAAGGUUUGAGUCAAAGAGAUGCAACAGGACAGAACAAAUCACGCACAAACGAAGGAAUGAAGACCUUCUGACAUUCUACCUGCGUCAUCAGGAUCCACUAAUAAGUCCCUGUGCAUGCCACCAAAGCAACAUUUUCACUCUGCCAUGUUCUGACGCUAUGAGGAGAGACAUCCAAGUGCUUCAGAAGUUCAUCAGGAAGUACGAGCCCCGUGGAGCUGUUGUUACCAAAGAAGAAGUUGUUAUUGUCAGUGAAGACACUGAUGUUUGCAAACAAACGUCACCGAAGAACCUCAGCAAAGCUACAACCCUAAUGGAAGAGCACGGGGUAGAAGCAGGAAGCAGAGGCUGCCCAGAAUCCUAUAGCACAGACCUUGGGGGGCCUCCAGGAGUCAGGCCAUGGUCACAGCCUCCAGCUCUGAGGGACCAAAGGGAACCAAAGGAUUUGGAUCUUCCCCCUGAUGAUUUCAGCAAGAAGGUCUAUGGGCUGGCAGCCACUUAUCUCACGGUAGCAGUGGGAUUUCUAGGCUGGUCCAGGCUACGGCUCCAGCUGGGGAACUAUUACUGGCUAUCCCUCACUUUUGUGAUAUGCAUUGCUCUUAUCCUCCUGAGCUCUGCAGCCAGCCAAAUGGGUUCCGUGAAUGCCUUUUACAGCUUGACAGUGACAGCAAUUGGAAGUGCAGUGCUUGGAAUUAUUUCAGACUCCUAUGAGUCAGUGACAGUACUGUUAGUUGGAGGAAUAACUGCAGCUGCAACCCUGUUACUGUAUUUAUUUGCUUGGAAGACAAAUAAACCCCUGGUGAACCUCACUAUAUCGAGCAGUUCAAGCAUCCUGUGGGUUGCUGGGGUAAUUGCCUGUGUCAUUAUAAACUCAUAUAAGUUCCAGGCUUUGUAUGCUCUGUUUGGAAUUCUGUUCUUUGCUACUGUAAGUAUGACAUUAAUACUGCUUUUUCCAUCAGUAAGUCACUGCUUUGCACGAGCUCUUGGUGAAGCUCUCAAAUCCCACUCCCUGGUGCUGCAGUUUGUCCCCUCUCUGUGCACACUGUGUGACACGGGGGUGCUGAGAGCUGCGGCCUGCAGCAAACCCCUUCUCCAACGAACUGGGUGA
ensembl:lncRNA